AGUGAACGCUGGCGGUAGGCCUAACACAUGCAAGUCGAACGGCAGCACAGGAGAGCUUGCUCUCUGGGUGGCGAGUGGCGGACGGGGGAGGAAUACAUCGGAAUCUACUCUGUCGUGGGGGAUAACGUAGGGAAACUUACGCUAAUACCGCAUACGACCUACGGGUGAAAGCAGGGGACCUUCGGGCCUUGCGCGAUUGAAUGAGCCGAUGUCGGAUUAGCUAGUUGGCGGGGUAAAGGCCCACCAAGGCGACGCUCCGUAGCUGGUCUGAGAGGAUGAUCAGCCACACUGGAACUGAGACACGGUCCAGACUCCUACGGGAGGCAGCAGUGGGGAAUAUUGGACAAUGGGCGCAAGCCUGAUCCAGCCAUACCGCGUGGGUGAAGAAGGCCUUCGGGUUGUAAAGCCCUUUUGUUGGGAAAGAAAUCCAGCUGGCUAAUACCCGGUUGGGAUGACGGUACCCAAAGAAUAAGCACCGGCUAACUUCGUGCCAGCCGCCGCAGUAA
rnacentral:rRNA from 1 species